GACGAACGCUGGCGGCGUGCUUAACACAUGCAAGUCGAGCGGUAAGGCCCCUCCGGGGGCACACGGGCGGCGAACGGGUGAGUAACACGUGAGCAACCUGCCCCUGACUCCGGGAUAAGCGGUGGAAACGCCGUCUACUACCGGAUACGACCCUCCGGCUCAUGCCGUGGGGGUGGAAAGUUUUUUCGGUGGGGGCGGUGCUCGCGGCCUAUCAGCUUGAUGGUGGGGUAAUGGCCUACCAGGGCGUCGACGGGUAGCCGGCCUGAGAGGGUGACCGGUCACACUGGGACUGAGACACGGCCCAGACUCCUACGGGAGGCAGCAGUGGGGAAUAUUGGACAAUGGGCGGAAGCCUGAUCCAGCAACGCCGCGUGAGGUACGACGGCCUUCGGGUUGUAAACCUCUUUCAUCACCGACGAAGCCUUUGGGUGACGGUAGGUGGAGAAGAAGCACCGGCCAACUACGUGCCAGCAGCCGCCGUAA
rnacentral:rRNA from 1 species